AAUCAGCGAGACUCCGUGGGCGUAGGACCCUCCGAGCCAGGUGCAGGAUAUAAUCUCGUGGUUCGCCGUUUUUUAAGCCCGUCGGAAAAGCGCAGUAUUCGGGUGGGAGUGACUCGAUUCUCCAGGUGCCAUCUGUCACCCCUUUCUUUGACUAGGAAAGGGAAACUCCCUGACCCCUUGCGCUUCCCGAGUGAGGCAAUGCCUCGCCCUGCUUCGGCUCACACAUGGUGCGCGCACCCACUGACCUGCGCCCACUGUCUGGCACUCCCUAGUGAGAUGAACCCGGUACCUCAGAUGGAAAUGCAGAAAUCACCCGUCUUCUGCGUCGCUCACGCUGGGAGCUGUAGACCGGAGCUGUUCCUAUUCGGCCAUCUUCCUUACCCACCAAAAAAAUUUAUUUUCAAGAUUAGGGAAGUUAAAAGGUUUAUUUAAGAUGUCAGAUUUUUAUAUGUUACCAGAACAAUUUCUUUUUUCAUUCCUGCCAGGCCAAUACUGACCAAAGAAAGCCAAGGAUGGUGCACUUCAUCUACCAAUAAAUAAUAAUGUUUGAGCUUAAUUAUGAGGACUGUUCUAUAAAAUCUUGAGUUUGGGGCUUUGUAGAUUGUACUAUUGUCAUCUUAUUUAUAACUACAUACAGGCUUCAUGCUGCAUGGUCCAUAUAUUUACCUAUGAUAAUUUAGAACCAGGAUCUUUAUUUGGUCUUAUAAAGAACUAGGCAUUGUAAUAAUGGUAUACAGUUUAACACACCCAAGCCAGCUGGCAUAUAGGAUGUUCUCCACUGGAAUAGAGUGUUCGUCAAGGUCAGAGGAAACCCAAUCCACAUUGGAACAAGGCUUCUUAAGACAUGGAUGUAAUUUGGUGGUGCGGAAAAAUCAGAGUGUUCAAAACAGUGGAGUAUGAUGAGUGACUGCCCAACAGAUGUGUAAUGGGACUCUGCCACAUGAUAGACAGCAGAGGAGACAGGGAAGCAUGGGAUGUCUAGGAACUUCCAGUAUCACAACCCACAAGUGGCAUGGGAGAAAUUCAGAAGUGCCUGCUUGCCAAAGAGAUACAUGUAGAUUAGUUGACAAAAAGGCUUGAGUCACAGGCCCAGGAUGUCACGUGAUCAGG
rnacentral:lncRNA from 10 species